AUUGAACGCUGGCGGCAGGCCUAACACAUGCAAGUCGAGCGGUAGAGAGGUGCUUGCACCUCUUGAGAGCGGCGGACGGGUGAGUAAUGCCUAGGAAUCUGCCUGGUAGUGGGGGAUAACGCUCGGAAACGGACGCUAAUACCGCAUACGUCCUACGGGAGAAAGCAGGGGACCUUCGGGCCUUGCGCUAUCAGAUGAGCCUAGGUCGGAUUAGCUAGUUGGUGAGGUAAUGGCUCACCAAGGCGACGAUCCGUAACUGGUCUGAGAGGAUGAUCAGUCACACUGGAACUGAGACACGGUCCAGACUCCUACGGGAGGCAGCAGUGGGGAAUAUUGGACAAUGGGCGAAAGCCUGAUCCAGCCAUGCCGCGUGUGUGAAGAAGGUCUUCGGACUGUAAAGCACUUUAAGUUGGGAGGAAGGGUCGUUACCUAAUAAGUGGCGAUUUUGACGUUACCGACAGAAUAAGCACCGGCUAACUCUGUGCCGGCAGCCGCGGUAACAC
rnacentral:rRNA from 1 species